GUGUUUAUUUUGCAGAGGGGAGUUUUUGUGGUCACAAAGGUCGUUUUUCUUAGAGUUAGGUUUGUUUGUUGUAUUUGGGAGGUACUGAUCUGCAAUUUCCAUAAAUGAGGGAAAACCUGGCUGCAGAAUUUGUGGUAGUGGGGGCCUGCCUAAAAGACUCUUU